GGUUACUGUUCACCAGGCAGCAAAAGUCCUCUCUUAGCUCCACUGCUGCCACUCCUCUCAGUUCACACCGUGUCCCCUCUAAUCCUUUCGCUGAGUAGCUCCUCACCAUGCCAUGCUCCUCCCUGAUCUUUCUCACCGAGCAGCAGCAAAUUCCAUCUUCUCUCUUCCUCCCUGCAAAAGAUCAUCCCCACACCAUGCGUACAACACCACAACACACACAUGCCAUACAACAUCACAAGCAGCUGUAGCACGCCGCGCCAUCCUAUGCUCCACUGAGCACCUCACAGCAGCAGCAACAUAGCUGCACGCUCCUCCGCGCAGUUCACACGCCCCGCCGCCGUAUGCGUCGCGCCGUUGGCCCACGCGCGCCACGCCCAUGCGUCCUCCACGCUGCCGACCAGCCAGCCCGCAGCUCCUCUGCACUACCGCUGCGCGCGCUGUUCCUCGCACGCAGCCGCUCGGCACAAGCCGCCGCUUAGCCGCGCAGCUCGUGUCGCGCCGUACUCUGUCCCGGCCGUGUCGCCGCUACCACGGUCUGCUCCCCGCCGAGCCAAGCCCGCCACAGCGCCAAGACGCCACUCGUAGUUGCACUGCCUCGACAUCGGCAUCACCGCCAUGCUCGACCACCUCCGGCUGCCACCAUCUCACCCAACACCACGGCUCAAAGUCAAGGAUCUAAGCAAGAACGCGAUGAAGGAAUUGAAGACGAGGCCCGAUUAUGAAGAACCCGAGAAACCUAAAUGACAAGACCAAUCAUGAAUUGACCUUUGUGAAUUCAAGUACUAUCUCCUUGAUCAUAUUGAACCUAAGUUUUGCAAUAAUCUAAUUGAUCAACUUAAAAUAUGACUUAUUAU